GCGCCCAUAGCUCAGCCUGGAUAGAGCGUGUGCCUCCGGAGCACAAGGCCGCAGGUUCAAAUCCUGCUGGGCGCA
rnacentral:tRNA from 1 species